rnacentral:lncRNA from 1 species
CGGAGGUGGGGGGUUAGGCGGGACCCCUACCAGUAGAUAAAACAAAAAACAAAUUACAAAUACUGGAGGGGGACAUGAACCAAACCUCCAGAGAAAAAUGAAAACAUCAAACAGACAAAAAGAAAAGUACAAUGAAAAUAUAAAAUCAAUAUCGGCGGCGUCUUCGGUUCAUCUUGAAGCCCUUCCGAGGAGUGACUUCAGUAAAACCCUCCGUAGAAGUGACAAUUCUUUGCCCACCCAAUUUCGCGAUGACUGUCUCUUCCAUAAUCUCUGAGUCUGAAAUGCCUAUACGGACAUCAACAGGAACGUCAUCACUGGAGUUGCUGUAAUCCUCGAUCCGAUGGCUCGUUCCAAUUCUAUCUUUUGAAGUGUUGGGUGCAGGAGAUACCUCAGGGACAUCAGUGGAUUCGGUAUUGAGAGUGCAUAUCGGCGCAGCAUCAUAUGGAGCAUAUGGGAGUGUCAAAACUUCUGUAGAAGUAAUGUCUGGAAAUGUAUCACAAGAACUGACCGUCUGCCAAGAUGAGCUGCGGUAAAAUCGCCCUUGAUGGCGAUAAGGAUCCCAAGCAGGCGUCGCACGAUAAAUGAGGUCACCGGCUGUCGUUCCCACACGAGCGGCAUGAUCACCACUCAACGGCAGAAGAGCUGCAAGAGGUGUAGGAGUAAUGGCCGUAGAAUCAGCACUAGUAACAGCAGGAACGAGGUCACUGCACAUGGGCUCAGGAGAGGCACACACAACUGAAGGCAGAGUGACUGUGCUCGGGGGAGGGAUCUCAGCAACAGCAGGAAGAUCAGCAAUGAUAACUGGUGUUGCUUCAGUAGUAGUAACUUCAUUUGGUGCUUCACUGGUUUCUGCACCGGUGGUAGGAACAUUUUGAACAAUCGGAGUAACAACUGUUGCCGCUUCUGUUGUUGCUGCAUUCUGGUUUCUGUUAUCGGCUUUCGGAACGUACUGAGUCUUCAUAGGUUCCUUUGACUUGUUACCCUCUCCAUCCGGAACAACAUUUUGCCGAACUGGGCCGGAACGGUCUGAUUUCCGCAACUCGGGUUUGUUGAUGUAGCAGGUGUCAUCAGAGUGGCCCACAUGCUUGCAGGCAGCACAAUACCGAGGCACUUUUUCGAAGAUGAUAUACUGCCAAAACCCAGUGUCUUUUUCCCCAAUCCAUAACCUCUUCAAUAAAGGCCUAGAAAUGUCAUACUCAAUGAGGACUCUGGCAACAGUAGGCCUACUGACCGAGGCGGUGGCAUGAUCGAUCCGAAGAGGUUUCCCGAUGGCAGCAGCAAUGGAAUACAGAGCCUCUUUGCAUCUCAUGUAGUGGACCGGUAAAAACGGCAAGGAGACCCAUAUCGGAACAAUCGGCGACUCUUCCGAACAAUGAAAAGUUGUGGACCAUUUGAAGACCCUCAUAGCUCGGCCAUCAAUAAACCAGGACUGGCGGAGCCAGAUUCUCGUAUAGUCCUCUUCCAGGUGCAGUUGGAUAAGGAUGUGUCGAGGAUCCAAUAAUGAAAUUUCAACAUUUCCUUUCAAGCCAAGAGCCACAAAAAAUUUACGGAUAACAUCAAUAGGGGGGCGGCCGAAAGAAAACUUACCCACUAAAGCGAGCUUGAAUGGUGCGGCCAUGAUGUUAAUUUCUUCCUCGGUGAAAAAAAUGGCCGGCUCACCUCUAUGGGUGGAAGAUUGCCUGAAGGCAAUGGCUGGAGCAGCUCUUUGAGACCCAGCAGCGGCAUCCACAAACGAUUUACAGGGCCGAGCAGUGGGCGAUUUUGCCGCCAUUUGAGCAAACGAUGGAAGCGGCGGAAACUCCAAUGAAGUAGCCGGAUGGCUACCGGCCAUGGCCAGAGAAGCCAUUCGGGCCGAGCUGCGCGACGGGAGACCCCGGGAGAAAAAUGCUCAAAAUCCCAAGUUCUGUGAAUAGUACCCUGAAAUCACUGUAGCAAACAGGUACUGUAGCGAUCACGGGUACUGUAGCAACGGGUACUGUAGAGAUCAAUGGCACUGUAGCAAUGAUGAACAAAAUACUGUAGCAAGAAGAACAGCACUGUAGCAGGAAUAGUAAAUCCGAAAUUCAAAUUAUCGUGUAGGCUUCAAAUCACCUCCAAAAUGCUCAUAUAAGGUAUGGAAACGUAGAUCGGUGAGAGGGGAACAAUUCUGAGGGGGAGGUGAGAGUUCACUCGCCGGAAAUUUGACCGGAUCUAGGAUUUAGAUAUCGGCACUAUUCAUUGAAUAGUAAACCGAAACUUCAAAGCUUGAUCGGGUAUUCAAAUCAACUCCAAAAUCCCCAAUAAACACACGGAAAUGUAGAUCAAUGAAGGAUGAAUAUGUUUAAGAGGGAGGUGUGAGCUUACUUGCCGGAAAAUGUGGUCGGAAAACCGAAACUAGCAUUCGGGUACUGUAGCACGCAUAGUAUUCCGACUUCACUUCAAUCUUUCAAGCUCCAAACGUGCACCAAAAUUUCCAAGCAACAUAUCAAAUCGAAGGGAAUUCAAAGGACGACGUGCUGGAAGUGGAGGUGUAUAUUCACUCGCCGGAAAAAUGGCCGGAAAGUGGAAUUAAAGGCUCGGCAUCACAGUAGCGGUUGAGAGAAAAUUGUCACUGUAGCAAAACGCUACUGUAGCAGAUUAGGGAAUAAUGGGGUUGGUUGGUUUAGGGUUUAGGGUUUAGGGUUUAGGGUUUAGGGUUUAGGGUUUAGGGUUUUAGGGUUUAGGGUUUAGGGUUUAGGGUUUAGGGUUGGGUUAGGCGGGACCCCUACCAGUAGAUAAAACAAAAAACAAAUUACAAAUACUGGAGGGGGACAUGAACCAAACCUCCAAAGAAAAAUGAAAACAACAAACAGACAAAAAGAAAAGUACAAUGAAAAUAUAAAAUCAAUAUCGGCGGCGUCUUCGGUUCAUCUUGAAGCCCUUCCGAGGAGUGACUUCAGUAAAACCCUCCGUAGAAGUGACAAUUCUUUGCCCACCCAAUUUCGCGAUGACGGUCUCUUCCAUAAUCUCUGAGUCUGAAAUGCCUAUACGGACAUCAACAGGACCGUCAUCACUGGAGUUGCUGUAAUCCUCGAUCCGAUGGCUCGUUCCAAUUCUAUCUUUUGAAGUGUUGGGUGCAGGAGAUACCUCAGGGACAUCAGUGGAUUCGGUAUUGAGAGUGCAUAUCGGCGCAGCAUCAUAUGGAGCAUAUGGGAGUGUCAAAACUUCUGUAGAAGUAAUGUCUGGAAAUGUAUCACAAGAACUGACCGUCUGCCAAGAUGAGCUGCGGUAAAAUCGCCCUUGAUGGCGAUAAGGAUCCCAAGCAGGCGUCGCACGAUAAAUGAGGUCACCGGCUGUCGUUCCCACACGAGCGGCAUGAUCACCACUCAACGGCAGAAGAGCUGCAAGAGGUGUAGGAGUAAUGGCCGUAGAAUCAGCACUAGUAACAGCAGGAACGAGGUCACUGCACAUGGGCUCAGGAGAGGCACACACAACUGAAGGCAGAGUGACUGUGCUCGGGGGAGGGAUCUCAGCAACAGCAGGAAGAUCAGCAAUGAUAACUGGUGUUGCUUCACUAGUAGUAACUUCAUUUGGUGCUUCACUGGUUUCUGCACCGGUGGUAGGAACAUUUUGAACAAUCGGAGUAACAACUGUUGCCGCUUCUGUUGUUGCUGCAUUCUGGUUUCUGUUAUCGGCUUUCGGAACGUACUGAGUCUUCAAAGGUUCCUUUGACUUGUUACCCUCUCCAUCCGGAACAACAUUUUGCCGAACUGGGCCGGAACGGUCUGAUUUCCGCAACUCGGGUUUGUUGAUGUAGCAGGUGUCAUCAGAGUGGCCCACAUGCUUGCAGGCAGCACAAUACCGAGGCACUUUUUCGAAGAUGAUAUACUGCCAAAACCCAGUGUCUUUUUCCCCAAUCCAUAACCUCUUCAAUAAAGGCCUAGAAAUGUCAUACUCAAUGAGGACUCUGGCAACAGUAGGCCUACUGACCGAGGCGGUGGCAUGAUCGAUCCGAAGAGGUUUCCCGAUGGCAGCAGCAAUGGAAUACAGAGCCUCUUUGCAUCUCAUGUAGUGGACCGGUAAAAACGGCAAGGAGACCCAUAUCGGAACAAUCGGCGACUCUUCCGAACAAUGAAAAGUUGUGGACCAUUUGAAGACCCUCAUAGCUCGGCCAUCAAUAAACCAGGACUGGCGGAGCCAGAUUCUCGUAUAGUCCUCUUCCAGGUGCAGUUGGAUAAGGAUGUGUCGAGGAUCCAAUAAUGAAAUUUCAACAUUUCCUUUCAAGCCAAGAGCCACAAAAAAUUUACGGAUAACAUCAAUAGGGGGGCGGCCGAAAGAAAACUUACCCACUAAAGCGAGCUUGAAUGGUGCGGCCAUGAUGUUAAUUUCUUCCUCGGUGAAAAAAAUGGCCGGCUCACCUCUAUGGGUGGAAGAUUGCCUGAAGGCAAUGGCUGGAGCAGCUCUUUGAGACCCAGCAGCGGCAUCCACAAACGAUUUACAGGGCCGAGCAGUGGGCGAUUUUGCCGCCAUUUGAGCAAACGAUGGAAGCGGCGGAAACUCCAAUGAAGUAGCCGGAUGGCUACCGGCCAUGGCCAGAGAAGCCAUUCGGGCCGAGCUGCGCGACGGGAGACCCCGGGAGAAAAAUGCUCAAAAUCCCAAGUUCUGUGAAUAGUACCCUGAAAACACUGUAGCAAACAGGUACUGUAGCGAUCACGGGUACUGUAGCAACCGGUACUGUAGAGAUCAAUGGCACUGUAGCAAUGAUGAACAAAAUACUGUAGCAAGAAGAACAGCACUGUAGCAGGAAUAGUAAAUCCGAAAUUCAAAUUAUCGUGUAGGCUUCAAAUCACCUCCAAAAUGCUCAUAUAAGGUAUGGAAACGUAGAUCGGUGAGAGGGGAACAAUUCUGAGGGGGAGGUGAGAGUUCACUCGCCGGAAAUUUGACCGGAUCUAGGAUUUAGAUAUCGGCACUAUUCAUUGAAUAGUAAACCGAAACUUCAAAGCUUGAUCGGGUAUUCAAAUCAACUCCAAAAUCCCCAAUAAACACACGGAAAUGUAGAUCAAUGAAGGAUGAAUAUGUUUAAGAGGGAGGUGUGAGCUUACUUGCCGGAAAAUGUGGUCGGAAAACCGAAACUAGCAUUCGGGUACUGUAGCACGCAUAGUAUUCCGACUUCACUUCAAUCGUUCAAGCUCCAAACGUGCACCAAAAUUUCCAAGCAACAUAUCAAAUCGAAGGGAAUUCAAAGGACGACGUGCUGGAAGUGGAGGUGUAGAUUCACUCGCCGGAAAAUUGGCCGGAAAGUGGAAUUAAAGGCUCGGCAUCACUGUAGCGGUUGAGAGAAAAUUGUCACUGUAGCAAAACGCUACUGUAGCAGAUUAGGGAAUAAUGGUUUGGGUUUAGGGUUUAGGGUUUAGGGUUUAGGGUUUAGGGUUUAGGGUUUAGGGUUUAGGGUUUAGGGUUUAGGGU